UCACCGCGGAGCUAGCUUGGUCGGGUAGCGGCUCCCGGAGUGGGAUCACUCCGGCGGUUGGGAGGACCGUGCACUAUCCUUUUUUUUAAAUAUACUGUUAUACUAUAUUACUACUAUGAUAAUCUUGUCUUUUAAAUAAGAGUAAAGUACAUGGAUGGUCCUUGUGGUUUAUAUGCGUAUACGCUUACGGGUCUAACUUCUAAGAACUGUGAAUCAUAUGCUAAUGAUGGCAUCAUUGCUGAACAGGUGAUCAUAUCUUUGAAGUUUCCUUAAGUUUUUCCACUUUAAGUUUGUGUAUCUUGAUAAAAAUUAGUUAUAGUUACUUUAUGGUCAUCAAAUGGAAGCCUCUAUAAGUUGUGAAGUUCAAAUGGCAUCCUGGUGCCAUGAAUGGCUACAAGUGAUUCAUUAUUUAUGCAUGGAGAUAUAUUGUAUGGGCAUGCACAUGAUCUCCACAACGGAUAAUGCUCUCAGUUCAAGUGGGCAUUAUCCUACAAUUAUUUACCUAUAAUGUUGAUCGCAAAAGUCUAUUCUACCUGGAUGUUAAUUUUAGAAGGCUAAGGUACCAAGGUCUUGCUAUAUAAACCCAAAAUCACGCUCAUUGCCUUUCUUAUCCAUUGGGCUAGUGCUAUUGGCAAAACCACAUCAAAUUUUUACCUAUAUAUUGUCAUUGGUCUAAUGUAAAACUUUGCAUCCAUCUUACAGGGUAUUGACCUCAUUUUUUCAUGCAAUCGCUUCUCUGUAAAUAAUAUGGUAACUUUUGUAUGGAUAAUAUUGAAAAUAGGCGAUUUGACCUUAGAAGUCAAAUUGACUUUUUUCUUUAUUCUAGAAUUGUAUAAGCAGCUAAUAGUUUCAUAAAUUGUGAUUAUGCUGGCCAUUAAUAUUUCACUUUGCAUUGGUUUUAUUAAAUCGAAAGGUUGAACGUGAUUAUCCAAGAUAUAGUGAAAGAAAAAGGACAAAAGGAAAAAGAAAGGUUGAAUGAUAUUAUUGCGGGAUUGGUGGUGGAAAAAGAGAAAUAUAAGGCGGAGAAAGAGGCUAUCAAUGAAAGAAUGGCAAACAUUGAAGCAAUGCUAAAGGCUAGGUUUCAAAACGUAUAAUCAUCGACUUAGGUUUCAAACGUUUAAACACUUUGUUUUGAAUAUGUAUUUUGUUAUGGUAACUUUGGUAUUUGAUGUUUCAAGUGAAAUGCUUUAU